rnacentral:rRNA from 1 species
CACGCCGUAAACGAUGAAUGCUAGGUGUUGGGGAAACUCAGUGCCGCAGUUAACACAAUAAGCAUUCCGCCUGGGGAGUACGACCGCAAGGUUGAAACUCAAAGGAAUUGACGGGGACCCGCACAAGCAGCGGAGCAUGUGGUUUAAUUCGAAGCAACGCGAAGAACCUUACCAGGGCUUGACAUCCUACUAACGAAGUAGAGAUACAUCAGGUGCCCUUCGGGGAAAGUAGAGACAGGUGG